rnacentral:rRNA from 1 species
ACGCGGGGACCCUAUCGAGCUUUAAGAAAUUUAAUAGGCUUACCAUAUAUUUAUAAAAAAGUAACGCUGCUAAGAACUUUGGUUGGGGCGACUGAGACAAUAAGCUUCCUUUAAUUAAAGACUUACAGUAUUGAUCCACAAUUGAUUAAGGAAUUAGUUACCGUAGGAUAAMAGCAUAAUCCCUUUUG